CUGCAAGUAGCUUUCUCAAGAGACCAGUAGGAUCACAAAAUACAUGUAACUCACUUGCUUCAAAAUUGCAAGGAGACGGUCUGGAAGCUUGCAAGUGAUGGUGGACACAACUGUGCUAGUGUGAUGCCAAGUCUAUGGCACGGGAUGUGCA